CAGCAACUUAAAAUCAAGAGCAAGGGCUAAAAGAUAACUUCUGUGGCUGAUAAUUGUCAGACUGCCCAUAUUUGUUUUCCACAGUUUCACAGGAAUGACUUUAAGGAUUACUUAAGGCUACCUGACUUUUUUCAUUUUUUUCCUUCUAGAAUUUCAUGAACCUACGGGAUGGAUGUCAUGAGUGAAAGCCAAGUUGCUGUUAACUAUAUCUUAAGCAUCAUCUUACUGGGAACAUGUUUAACCUGCCAAAAAGCUCUUCUGAACUCUGACUGCAAACCAUUCCGAAGUACAAAUUUCUCAUGCAAAUGCCGUAUGACCUCAGGCUGUUUCCAGUCCAAAUAUAGUGCUACUUGAUUGAAAAAAUCCAAGAAGCAGUUCUCUUUUUGGCUCAUGUUUAGCAAU